UACGGGGGGAGCAAGCGUUGUUCGGAUUUACUGGGCGUAAAGGGCGCGUAGGCGGUCAGCACAAGUCAGUUGUGAAAUCUCCGGGCUUAACCCGGAAAGGUCACCUGAUACUGUGCGACUAGAGUGCGGAAGGGGCAACUGGAAUUCUCGGUGUAGCGGUGAAAUGCGUAGAUAUCGAGAGGAACACCUGCGGCGAAGGCGGGUUGCUGGGCCGACACUGACGCUGAUGCGCGAAAGCCAGGGGAGCGAACGGG
rnacentral:rRNA from 1 species